rnacentral:lncRNA from 1 species
CUAUUUUCUAGAGAUGAGUUUCGCCAUAUUGCCCAGGCUGGUCUCAAACUCCUGAGCUCAAACAAUCUGCUGACCUCGGCCUUCCACAUACUGGGAUUACAGGCGUUAGCCACCACACACGGGCAACUUACCUUAAGAUCAAGCCUCAUUUAAGAUUUUCAAAAAAUUGGAAGAUAGAAUAUUAGAUUUUGUCAUAUUUUUCUAAUAAUAAAUCAGAGAAGCCAGUGAUUGAUUAAAUAAAUAAAUAACAAUGGACUCCAGGUUCUUCAGUUUUGGAACUCGGACUGGCUCUUCUUCCUCCUCAGCCUGCAGACUGCCUACUGUGGGACCUCACAAUCAUAUUUAUUGGCUGGCGGUUCCAAGAUGGCCAAAUAGGAACAGCUCCAGUCUAUAGCUCCCAGCAUGAGUGACGCAGAAGAUGUGUGAUUUCUGCAUUUCCAAUUGAGGUACCAGGUCCAUCUCACUGGGGCUUGUCGGACAGUGGGUGCAGUGCACCAAGUGUGAGCCAAAGCAGGGUGAGGCAUCGCCUCACCUGGAAAGUGCAAGGGGUCAGGGAAUUCCCUUUCCUAGCCAAGCAAAGUGGCGACAGAUGGCACCUGGAAAGUUGGGUCACUCCCACCCUAAUACUGUGCAUUUCCAAUGGUCUUACCAAACGGCACACCAGGAGAUUAUAUCCUGCACCUGGUUUGGAGGGUCCCAUGCCCAUGGAGCCUUGCUCAUUGCUAGCACAGCAGUUUGAGAUCCAACUGCAAGGCAGCAGUGAGGCUGGGGAAAGGGCGCCUGCCAUUGCUGAGGCUUGAGUAGGUAAACAAAGUGGCCAGGAAGCUCGGACUGGGUGGAGCCCACCCCAGCUCAAGGAAGCCUGCCUGCCUCUGUAGGCUCCACCUCUGGGGGCAGGGCAUAGCCAAACAAAUGACAGCAGAAACCUCUGCAGACUUAAAUGUCCCUGUCUGACAGCUUUGAAGAGAGUAGUGGUUCUCCCAGCCCGCAGCUGGAGAUCUGAGAAUGGACAGACUGCCUCCUCAAGUGGGUUCCUGACCCCCGAGUAGCCUAACUGGGAGGCACCCCCCAGUAGGGGCAGACUGACACCUCACACAGCUGGGUACCCCUCUGAGAUGAAA